GACGAACGCUGGCGGCGUGCUUAACACAUGCAAGUCGUACGGUAAGGCCCUUUCGGGGGUACACGAGUGGCGAACGGGUGCGUAACACGUGAGUAACCUGCCCACAACUUUGGGAUAACGCUAGGAAACUGGUGCUAAUACUGGAUAUGUUCUCCUGCUGCAUGGUGGGGGUUGGAAAGCUCCGGCGGUUGUGGAUGGACUCGCGGCCUAUCAGCUUGUUGGUGGGGUAGUGGCCUACCAAGGCGGCGACGGGUAGCCGGCCUGAGAGGGUGACCGGCCACAUUGGGACUGAGAUACGGCCCAGACGCCUACGGGAGGCAGCAGUGGGGAAUAUUGCACAAUGGGCGCAAGCCUGAUGCAGCAACGCCGCGUGCGGGAUGACGGCCUUCGGGUUGUAAACCGCUUUCAGCAGGGACGAAGCUUUUUGUGACGGUACCUGCAGAAGAAGCACCGGCUAACUACGUG
rnacentral:rRNA from 1 species